CAAAUGACAUUGUAAUUACCAAGUACUAGUCAAACGACAUCUUAAUUACUAUAUACACUACAUCUAGAGCAAGACCAUUAAAAAAUAAUACAAAAAAAUACUAGUAGAAACCAUUAAAAAGAAGUAUUUGGUAGAUGUGUGAGGAGGUAAAUUAUAAAAAUUUUAGGGAUUAGUCAUUAGUUGGGCCAAAAGAGAGAUGAAAAAAUAAGUAAAAAGAAAAAGUCUCAGAUUCAUCUCUCAUGUAGCAUCGCUCCAACUGUAUUUGGCCACCAAGAUAUCAAGUAUGCGAUUCUUCUUAUGCUGUUAGGUGGAGUUCACAAGAGUACUGAAGAAGGAAUUAACUUGAGAGGGGAUAUUAAUGUGUGCAUAGUAGGGGAUCCCAGUUGCACAAAGUCCCAGUUUCUCAAGUAUACUUAUGGUCUUGUCCCUAGAUCCGUAUAUACAUCCGGGAAAUCAUCGUCUGCUGCUGGUUUAACUGCAACUGUGACUAAAGAACAAGAAAAUGGAGAAUUCUGUAUUGAGGUUGCUAUAUAUGAAGCCAUGGAGCAGCAGACUAAGUAUCAAAAAAGCAGGAAUAAAUGCGACACUAAUUGCUAGGACAUCUAUAUUAGCUGUUGCCAAUCCUACUGGAGAUCGUUAUGACAAAACAAAACCACUGAAGGUCAGAAUGCCUACUUCUAAAGCAAGUAGUGACAAGAGCUCUAUGAGCAAUCGUCUUGAGUAAACCCCUAUGGCACCGCGACGGAGAAUGGAUAUGCGAGCGGAAGAUGAACCUGAGUUGGAGUAUGACUCCCCUUUUGUUUAGAUCUCUUUAUUGUAUUUGAGAGACUAUUAGUUUAGAUUUAGACUAAUUUAAGGAUGUAAUUUGAACUUUGGACUUAUUUCGAUUUGGUUGUAAUUUUCCUAUAUUUUGGAUAGUUAAGACUUCCGUUAUAUUUCUUUGGUUUGGUUCAAGUAUUAUACAUGGAUAAUUGUUUGACCUUUAAGUAA